rnacentral:rRNA from 1 species
ACAGAGGGUGCGAGCGUUAAUCGGAAUUACUGGGCGUAAAGCGUGCGUAGACGGUUGUCUAAGUCGGAUGUGAAAUCCCCGGGCUCAACCUGGGAAUGGCAUUCGAGACUGAAUAGCUAGGGUGCGGAAGAGGGAAGCGGAAUUUCCGGUGUAGCGGUGAAAUGCGUAGAUAUCGGAAGGAACAUCAGUGGCGAAGGCGGCUUCCUGGUCCAGCACCGACGUUCAGGCACGAAAGCGUGGGGAGCAAACAGG